rnacentral:rRNA from 1 species
UACAGAGGGUGCAAGCGUUGCUUGGAAUCAUUGGGCGUAAAGGGUAGGUAGGUGGUCUCAUUUGUCUGGGGUGAAAGCCCAGGGCUUAACCCUGGAAGUGCCCCGGAAACGGUGAGACUGGAGUACUGGAGAGGGUCGUGGAAUUCCUGGUGUAGCGGUGGAAUGCGCAGAUAUCAGGAGGAACACCAAUAGCGAAGGCAGCUCGCUGGGACGGUACCGACGCUAAGGCGCGAAAGCGUGGGGAGCGAACAGG